rnacentral:rRNA from 1 species
UACGGGGGGGGCAAGCGUUGUUCGGAAUUACUGGGCGUAAAGGGCUCGUAGGCGGCCAACUAAGUCAGACGUGAAAUCCCUCGGCUUAACCGGGGAACUGCAUCUGAUACUGGAUGGCUUGAGUUCGGGAGAGGGAUGCGGAAUUCCAGGUGUAGCGGUGGAAUGCGCAGAUAUCAGGAAGAACACCAACGGCGAAGGCAGCUCGCUGGGACGGAACUGACGCUAAGGCGCGAAAGCGUGGGGAGCGAACAGG